rnacentral:rRNA from 1 species
AUUGAACGCUGGCGGCAUGCCUUACACAUGCAAGUCGAACGGCAGCACGGGAGCAAUCCUGGUGGCGAGUGGCGAACAGGUGAGUAAUAUAUCGGAACGUGCCCAGUCGUGGGGGAUAACGUAGCGAAAGCUACGCUAAUACCGCAUACGAUCUAUGGAUGAAAGCGGGGGAUCGCAAGACCUCGCGCGAUUGGAGCGGCCGAUAUCAGAUUAGGUAGUUGGUGAGGUAAAGGCUCACCAAGCCGACGAUCUGUAGCUGGUCUGAGAGGACGGCCAGCCACACUGGGACUGAGACACGGCCCAGACUCCUACGGGAGGCAGCAGUGGGGAAUUUUGGACAAUGGGCGCAAGCCUGAUCCAGCAAUGCCGCGUGCAGGAUGAAGGCCUUCGGGUUGUAAACUGCUUUUGUACGGAACGAAACGGCGAGCUCUAAUACAGUUUGCUAAUGACGGUACCGUAAGAAUAAGCACCGGCUAACUACGUGCCAGCCGCCGCAGUAA